rnacentral:rRNA from 1 species
UACAGAGGUCUCGAGCGUUGUUCAGAUUCAUUGGGCGUAAAGGGCGCGUAGGCGGCGGGGUAAGUCUGGUGUGAAAUCUCGGAGCUCAACUCCGAAAUUGCACUGGAUACUGCUCUGCUAGAGGGCUGGAGAGGAGAUCGGAAUUCACGGUGUAGCAGUGAAAUGCGUAGAUAUCGUGAGGAAGACCAGUGGCGAAGGCGGAUCUCUGGACAGCUCCUGACGCUGAGGCGCGAAGGCUAGGGGAGCAAACGGG